rnacentral:rRNA from 1 species
AACGAACGCUGGCGGCGUGCUUAACACAUGCAAGUCGAACGCGAAAGGGACUUCGGUCCUGAGUAAAGUGGCGCACGGGUGAGUAACGCGUGGAUAAUCUACCCGUUGGACCGGGAUAACAUUUCGAAAGGGGUGCUAAUACCGGAUAAGACCACGGAGUCUUCGGGCUCAGUGGUAAAAGGUGGGGACCUUCGGGCCUACCGUCGACGGAUGAGUCCGCGUACCAUUAGCUAGUUGGUGGGGUAAGAGCCUACCAAGGCGACGAUGGUUAGCUGGUCUGAGAGGAUGAUCAGCCACACUGGAACUGAGACACGGUCCAGACUCCUACGGGUGGCUG